rnacentral:lncRNA from 1 species
UCUUGUAGGAACAAUCUAGCCUGAUAGCGUUCAGAGUCUAUUCACUUCCACACUGCUUUGAGCACAGCCAGUCGCGUCCUGCCACUAAGAACAUCCAGAUGCAUGAUGAAGCAAAGCAAUUGGUGGGAACUCCACAUGGAUUUGGAGUCUAGCGCAUAUCCACACCUCGAUCAUCUGAGAAUAUAACUCCAAGUCUCGAUCAUCACAAGAGUCGUUCGCUAGAGGAGAAACGCAAUCGAGCAACCAGCAUCUGCCCACAAGCAAAACUCCCAAGCUGAUGUUAUAGACGAGUUCAUGGGCCCUGAUCGAGUACCUUCCUCAGUGUUCCUGAAGUGCCUUCCCCUCUUGCAGUCGGUAGAACUCUUGACCUCUCAACGGAGACAGCAGGGAGUGGAACCUGCGCAUGCUUUCGCUCGACUUUGGACCGAGCAAGCACAUGGGCGAGUUUGUAACGUACGAGGCGUCCGAUACGAGGCUUCGGGGGCCAUGCAGAUCAUGACACGCCGAUUUCGACAAGGUUGGCAAAUCACUGGGACUCAAAAG